AGUGAACGCUGGCGGCGUGCUUAACACAUGCAAGUCGAACGAGAACGGAAUAUAGCUUGCUAUAUUUGUCAGCUAAGUGGCGCACGGGUGAGUAAUGUAUAGAUAACCUGCCCUUAAGAAAGGAAUAGCAGUUGGAAACGACUGCUAAUGCCCUAUAUGCCUUUAAUACAUAAGUAUGCAAGGGAAACGCUUUAGUGCUUAAGGAUGGGUCUGUAUGGUAUCAGCUUGCUGGUGAGGUAAUGGCUCACCAAGGCUAUGACGCCUAACUGGUUUGAGAGGAUGAUCAGUCACACUGGAACUGAGACACGGUCCAGACUCCUACGGGAGGCAGCAGUGGGGAAUAUUGCACAAUGGACGAAAGUCUGAUGCAGCAACGCCGCGUGGAGGAUGACACAUUUCGGUGCGUAAACUCCUUUUAUAUAGGAAGAUAAUGACGGUACUAUAUGAAUAAGCACCGGCUAACUCCGUGCCAGCCGCCGCUGUAA
rnacentral:rRNA from 1 species